rnacentral:rRNA from 1 species
CGGAUUGUAGGCUGCAACUCGCCUACAUGAAGUCGGAAUCGCUAGUAAUCGCGGAUCAGCAUGCCGCGGUGAAUACGUUCCCGGGCCUUGUACACACCGCCCGUCACACCAUGAGAGUUUGUAACACCCAAAGCCGGUGGGGUAACCUUUUGGAGCCAGCCGUCUAAGGUGGGACAGAUGAUUGGGGUGAAGUCGUAACAAGGUAGC